ACGGAGGGUGCAAGCGUUGUUCGGAAUCACUGGGCGUAAAGGGCGUGUAGGCGGCUGAUUAAGUCAGAUGUGAAAGCCCUGGGCUCAACCCAGGAAGUGCAUUUGAAACUGAUCAGCUAGAGUACAGGAGAGGAAGGUGGAAUUCCUGGUGUAGAGGUUAAAUUCAGAGAUAUCGGGAAGAACACCGGUGGCGAAGGCGGCCUUCUGGCCUGAUACUGACACUGAGACGCGAAAGCUUGGGGAGCAAACAG
rnacentral:rRNA from 1 species